GCGGGAGUAGUUCAGUUGGUAGAAUGCUUCCUUCCCAAGGAAGAGGUCGCGGGUUCGAAUCCCGUCUCCCGCUCCA
rnacentral:tRNA from 1 species